rnacentral:misc_RNA from 1 species
GCCUGGCGCCUCGCCUGGGCGCCUUGCUCGCCUUUGAUAACACUGGAUUGGGAGCAAGAGUAAUACUAACAAUGAAAAUUUUGAAUAUUUAAAGAGUUAAUUGAAAAUUUUUUUAUUUUAAACGCAACAAAUAACUAUAAUAUUUACAAAGAAUAUGAAAAUUUCAAGAGUAAAUUGAAAAUUAAAUUUAAAAGGAUUAUAACUAAAAAAUAAUAAUAAAUUUUAAAAAUUUCAAUAUUUAGAACAACAUUUUCAAAAUUUAAGCAGCUUAAAUAUAUAUUUUUAUCAAAAAUAAUUAAAAGUAUAAGAGUAUAUAUAGAAGUUUUCCAAGGUUUAGGGGGGACCAAAGAUAUAUUUCUAACAAAAUUUAUAGAAAAUAUAAGGGCUUAAACAAAAAUUUUACAAAGUUUGGAGGAGCCAUGGCCCUCCCAACCAUCAACAUAGUUCCACCCUUGUAUGGCCAGUGCACCAUCUGUAAAGUGCUUCAUGAUAUCUUUUAUAGAUUCGUUCCCCUUAUGAGAGUUUCUGGAAUGUCGUAAAAGGAUUGGAAAACAAUAUCCUGUUUUGAUGGGAAGCCAUUUUUUUUCCAAAAUGGCAGUGUUUCCUUGAUCAAAAAUAGUUUUUUAUUGUCCAAUUUUCCUAUAUAUCCAAAUACCAGAGAAUGAAGAAAAAUAUUUUCUAAGAAAAUGUUAUUGGAGAUUUUUAAAAAAAAAAUAGAGCCCACAGUCUCAAAUACCAAAACGACCUCUUUGGAGAUUGCUCACUUCCAUUUUCUGCCCUAUCAUUUCAGCUAUAUAGGACUUUUGAAUUUAAACCGUCCUUUAAAGAGUGAAAUGCAGUGGAGGAAAGCUACUAUUUCAACCAAAGCUGUAGAUACUACUAAAAACUAACAGUUAAUGGAAGUUUAACUUCUACCUAGAUUUGAACAGGAACUAUAUGGAUGCAAUACGGAAACAAUUUCUAUGAGAUGAGAAGAAAUAUGGUUGACGAAGAGAUAACAGAUCAUGAACAAGACAGACAAUUUCUUCUGAGAUUCAUCCGGAAGAAGACUCAAAAUGUACUCUAAUGUUAGAAUAGAAGGUGUUCCGUCUGGAAAAAUGGGAGCAAGAAAGAAUUGAAGAUAAGAUGCAAAUGCUUUCACAAAAUAUGUGGUGAGCACUACUUCUGUAACUCUUCAACUCUAGGCAUAAAAAAUGUAAGAUAUAUGACAGCUAUUUCCACCAUAUAGCCAUGAAAAUUAGUGGAGCUCAAAUGCUAAACUGUUGCAAUCAAUAUCAAACUUGAGCCAUGAAAUCACUGUUGGAUGAUGUGUCAUAUCAACUGGUGUAUGCAGUGUUCUCAAUAUGGAGGCCUGAACAAUAUAAUUAUACUUCCAGUACUCAUUAACAUCUUGCUUUUAUGUAGCACAGCUUGUAUUAACCAGCUGCUUUUACGUAUUAUAGGCUGAUUAGUUUAUUCUUCUGGUUUCCAACCCUAAUUUCAAGAUUUUCUGGAGUUCAUUGAAUUGAGCCACAUACAGUUGUUUUAGAUCCAUGCACAAAGGAAUCACUAUUAAGUCUACACCCAUCCACUUCUUUAAAUGAGCUCACCUUCAGGUAAUGCAAGAACUCUAGCAAUAUGCAGUAUGAUGAAUAUAAAAUUCUAAAGGAAUGGAAUUGCAAUAAGGUCUGAUUAAACAGGUAUCCUUGAAUUCAAAACAUCUCAUACAAUGAUAUAUAAUGUGUGCGCUUUAAUGCAUGAAUUAAGUCAAAAAUGGAAUUUAAAUGAGAUAAUAUUGCAAUGAUAAAACACACCAGCAGAUAUCAUGAUAUGCAGUGUCGUAUGGAAAUUAAAGCCAAAGAUAACAAACAAACUUGAACUUCUUUGAAACCAUACUUACACAUUAAAUCAUGAGGGGGAGCAA